CCUACGGGAGGCAGCAGUGGGGAAUAUUGGGCAAUGGGCGCAAGCCUGACCCAGCAACGCCGCGUGAAGGAAGAAGGCUUUCGGGUUGUAAACUUCUUUUAAGAGGGAAGAGCAGAAGACGGUACCUCUUGAAUAAGCCACGGCUAACUACGUGCCAGCAGCCGCGGUAAUACGUAGGUGGCAAGCGUUGUCCGGAUUUACUGGGUGUAAAGGGCGUGUAGCCGGGCUGACAAGUCAGAUGUGAAAUUCCGGGGCUCAACCCCGGACCUGCAUUUGGCACUGUUGGUCUUGAGUCUCGGAGAGGCAGGGGGAAUUUCCAGGGGAGGGGUGGAAAGCGUAGAAAUUAGGAGGGACACCAGUGGCGGAGGCGGGC
rnacentral:rRNA from 1 species